GCCGCGUCUCCCUUAAAACUUCUCGCCAUACGUCGUUUCGUCGCGCUCGCCGUAACGACACCGUUUACAAGGGACGCACGUUGUUUAUCCUCGAAUGACCCCAAUGCUGAAGCGAGAACAUCCCGUUCCUGAGAUAUUAAUAGCUCCCCUUGCGUCACCAAACUGUGGAGGAACGCUUUGCUAGACACGCAAUGGAGCCAGCAACUGUGCCAGCAACACAUUUUCCUCCAAAGCAAACAUAGUUCUAAAACAGGUAGUCAUCAUUCUCUACAACCAGCUGUCUGCGGGUGUUACAGCCAAUGUGUUUACUCCUGGUACACAACACCGAGACAUUGCUGGAAAGGAGUAGGGGGGGAAAAUCAUUCAUUCAUGGACAAGACUCUCUGCCAAGUUUGUGACAAGGACCAGUGGAAAUCAUCCAACUUCCCUCAGACCAAAACCGACGUUUGCUGUCAUGCCUUGGUUCUGUAGCGGGCUGUGUAGAGUUUCUGUCAGCUUCUGAUGAGGACAUUGCCGCCGAGCCUUGACCUUUCGCCAGUCUCGAGGGAUCCCUUCUUUAAGUCAGUUUGACCUAAAUUCUAAAAAGUCUUCAACAUGGACGCCAAGGGCACCUUUAAACGGGCCUCCCUCAAACGCACCACAUCUGGCUCGCAGAAGGUAAGAUGAAGCCUGUUCUGUCACGUUCAACAGGUGUUUCUACAUUACCUUAACAAGUUAGACCUGGUGUGUUUCCAUCGCCAGAAUAGCGCUCUGAUUAUAUGAUGAUUUUUCUUGAAAUGUAUUUGUGGCUUUCAUUUUGAAAGUAAAUGUUUAGUUCAAGUCGUAUAAAUGAAGGACAACCGCACUUUAUCUUACCUCAUCUUAGCUUUCUUUUGUAGCUGUUUGUAUCCAGAAAUCAUUUGACUAUUCUGAGAAUCACUUGUGUUG